rnacentral:misc_RNA from 1 species
UAUUUGCAAGGUUAGAGUUGUGAUCCUCUUGUUGUGGCUUAUCUUGGUUUGGCAAGUUGAGGCAUUGGCAAAAGAUCUCCUUUCUAGCUUUCAGUGGGUUUUCCAAUCAAGCUUCUGAAAACAACGCUUUUUCUGGUGUUGAUCCUGAGUUCUGCUUGGGCGGUUUUGGUCUAAGGGUUGGCUGGAUGGGACUACAGACUUGUUACUGGGAAUGAUUACUUGGAUUAAGAAAUUUGCUUUCUUUUCCGAUCUCAGAUGUAAUCUUGUGUAUCUUUGCCCAAUGGGCUUUAAUGCAUAUUAUCAUUGC